GGAAUCUUGUGCAAUGGACGAAAGUCUGACACAGCCACGCCGCGUGCGGGAAGAAGGCCUUCGGGUUGUAAACCGCUUUCAGCAGGAACGAAAAUGACGGUACCUGCAGAAGAAGGAGCGGCCAACUACGUGCCAGCAGCCGCGGUGACACGUAGGCUCCAAGCGUUGUCCGGAUUUAUUGGGCGUAAGGAGCUCGUAGGCGGUUCAGCAANUCGGGUGUGAAAACUCUGGGCUCAACCCAGAGAGGCCAUCCGAUACUGCUGUGACUUGAGUUCAGGAGGGGAGCGGGGAAUUCCUAGUGUAGCGGUGAAAUGCGCAGAUAUUAGGAGGAACACCGGUGGCGAAGGCGCCGCUCUGGACUGAAACUGACGCUGAGGAGCGAAAGCAUGGGUAGCAAACAGGAUUAGAUACCCUGGUAGUCCAUGCCGUAAACGGUGGGCACUAGGUGUGGGUUCCAACUAACGGGAUCCGCGCCGUCGCUAACGCAUUAAGUGCCCCGCCUGGGGAGUACGGUCGCAAGACUAAAACUCAAAGGAAUUGACGG
rnacentral:rRNA from 1 species